ensembl:miRNA mir200c microRNA 200c
UGGAUGCCUGGCUCCAUCUUACAAGGCAGUUUUGGAUGUUAUAUCUUCUCUAAUACUGCCUGGUAAUGAUGCAGAUGGUCAUCUA